ACCCUCUACCACAGAACACCUAAUUUUUUCAUAUCACAUUUUACUGCCUUAUAUUCUUAUUCAGAAAUUUGUUUCCUCUAAAUUUGGAGGCUCCUGUACAAGGUCAUUCAUUCAGAUUUAAGCUGGUGGCUUUUGCUUGGUUCCUGCUUGCUUGAUACAACCAGGAAAAAAGUACUCAUGAGAGAGUGCUCUGCAUAAGGAAAGAGAUUAGUGGUGACAAAAAAUUAUCUGGAGCUGCAAUAGUGAAGUAAAUUUCAGUUUUGUAGAAAACAGCCAAAUAAUUCCCUUAUUGUUCAUCGUCUUGCUAGCUUAAAAAGGAUUUCAGACACGAUAAGGAGCUAAACUGUUCUAAUUACUCCACCGAAGACAAUUUCAAAGAGGUUGUUGGUUCAAGGACAGCAAGAGUUGUUAGAAUACAUGUUCUCUUG